UACGUAGGGGGCAAGCGUUGUCCGGAUUUAUUGGGCGUAAAGGGCGCGUAGGCGGUUUCUUAAGUUUGGAGUGACAGUGGGUGGCUUAACUACCCAAGGCCUCUGAAAACUGGGGAACUUGAGGACCAGAGAGGGACAUAGAAUUCCGGGUGGAGUGGUGAAAUGCGUAGAUAUCCGGAGGAAUACCAAAGGCGAAGGCAGUGCCCUGGAGGGUGACUGACGCUGAGGCGCGAAAGCUAGGGGAGCGAACAGG
rnacentral:rRNA from 1 species